rnacentral:rRNA from 1 species
UACGUAGGGUGCAAGCGUUGUCCGGAAUUACUGGGCGUAAAGAGCUCGUAGGCGGUGUGUCGCGUCGGCCGUGAAAACCUGCAGCUUAACUGUGGGCUUGCGGUCGAUACGGGCAUCACUGGAGUUCGGCAGGGGAGACUGGAAUUCCUGGUGUAGCGGUGAAAUGCGCAGAUAUCAGAAGGAACACCGGUGGCGAAGGCGGGUCUCUGGGCCGAUACUGACGCUGAGGAGCGAAAGCGUGGGGAGCGAACAGG